CCAAUAGCGUAUAUUAAAGUUGUUGCAGUUAAAAAGCUCGUAGUUGAACUUCGGGAUCAAUUGAUUGGUCAUGCCUUGGUAUGUACUGUUCGUAUUGGUUCUCACCUUCUAAUGAACCAUAAUGUCAUUUAUUUGAUGUUAUGGGGAAUUAGGACUGUUACCUUGAAAAAAUUAGAGUGUUUAAAGCAGGCUCACGCUUGAAUACCUUAGCAUGGAAUAAUGAAAUAGGACAUCGCAUUCUAUUUUGUUGGUUUCUAGGAUCGAUGUAAUGAUUAAUAGGGAUAGUUGGGGGCAUUAGUAUUCAAUUGUCAGAGGUGAAAUUCUUGGAUUUAUUGAAGACUAACUACUGCGAAAGCAUUUGCCAAGGAUGUUUUCAUUAAUCAAGAACGAAAGUUAGGGGAUCGAAGACGAUCAGAUACCGUCGUAGUCUUAACCAUAAACUAUGCCGACUAGGGAUCGGAUGAUGUUGAUUUUUUAAUGACUCAUUCGGCACCUUACG
rnacentral:rRNA from 1 species